AGAACGAACGCUGGCGGCAGGCCUCAAACAUGCAAGUCUAGGGGGUGUAGCAAUACAUCACCGGCGGACGGGUGCGUAACGCGUGGGAAUGUACCUAUUGGUUCGGAACAACACAGGGAAACUUGUGCUAAUACCGGAUGAGCCCGAAAGGGGAAAGAUUUCUCGCCAAUAGAUCAGCCCGCGUCCGAUUAGCUAGUUGGUGGGGUUAAAGCCUACCAAGGCGACGAUCGGUAGCUGUUCUGAGAGGAAGAUCAGCCACACUGGGACUGAGACACGGCCCAGACUCCUACGGGAGGCAGCAGUUGGGAAUCUUGGACAAUGGGGAAACCCUGAUCCAGCCAUGCCGCGUGAGUGAUGAAGGCCUUCGGGUUGUAAAACUCUUUCGACGGGGACGAUAAUGACGGUACCCGUAGAAGAAGCUCCGGCUAACUUCGUGCCAGCAGCCGC
rnacentral:rRNA from 1 species